rnacentral:rRNA from 1 species
CCUACGUGAGGCAGCAGUGAGGAAUAUUGGUCAAUGGGCGCGAGCCUGAACCAGCCAAGUAGCGUGAAGGAUGACUGCCCUAAGGGUUGUAAACUUCUUUUAUAAAGGAAUAAAGUGAGGCACGUGUGCCUUUUUGUAUGUACUUUAUGAAUAAGGAUCGGCUAACUCCGUGCCAGCAGCCGCGGUAAUACGGAGGAUCCGAGCGUUAUCCGGAUUUAUUGGGUUUAAAGGGAGCGUAGAUGGGUUGUGACGUCAGUUGUGAAAGUUUGCGGCUCAACCGUAAAAUUGCAAUUGAUACUGGCAGUCUUGAGUACAGUUGAGGUAGGCGGAAUUCGUGGUGUAGCGGUGAAAUGCUGAGAUAUCACGAAGAACUCCGAUUGCGAAGGCAGCUUACUAAACUGCCACUGACAUUGAUGCUCGAAAGUGUGGGUAUCAAACAGGAGUAGAUACCCCAGUAGUC